rnacentral:lncRNA from 1 species
CUCUUAUGCUUUUCAAAACACUUUCUUGUCUGUUACUUAAUCCUCACAUUAAUAAUAAGUGACAGGCAGAGAAAAAAUGUGUUACCUUCAUGACUCCAUGGCAAUCUCAUUGCUGAGAAGUGGGAGAAUUGGAACAAAAACAACCCAUUCUUUAGCGUUUCCUCAUUUCUUCCUCCUCAUUUUCCCAAGCCCCUCAUUUCCACCCCUUCCCACCAACUGGGUGAUGUUAGUAUUAUAUAUUACCUCUAGAGAUGUCUGUCAAUUAUUAUGGAUCUAUUAUAGCAAAAACAGAGAAAGGUUCAAACAACCUCAAGGGACAUAUUAACAUUUGCUUUAAAUAUUGAAGGCUAUGAUGCUGUGUUCAAAAUUUUUUUUAAGUGGAAACUCUCUCAAAGUCUAAGUAGUUAUUUUGACUAGUGCAAAACUGUGUUUCAUUUCAAAUAACGUGAUGAAACAAAAAACCAAAAAACAACAUGUUUCUAUGGGAGGGACUGUGAAAUAAAAUCAAAACAAUCAAGGCAUUCUGAGAAGAAUGAUUUUGGUCUUUCACGGUUAUGAAUUCUGCCACCUUGAGUGGUAUGUUUCAUAAUUUGUGGCUUCUCACUCCCUCGUGUUGUUGAGAUUCUGUUUAAGUUAGGAAUUUAGCUAGAUCAGCAUUGUCAGAUCUUGGGCAAAUCAUGUGCCUCCUCAGGCUCUUGAUUUUUCACAUUUUCAAGGUUAUGAUUAGGUGAGUGUGAGGAUUAAUUGUGGUUAUGUGUGUAAAAGUAUUUUGAAAACUUGAACAUUCUAUGUAUACAAAUCACAUAUAGAUACUACACUUAAGUGUAUGUAUAGUAUACACAUAUGUAGAUAAAUGACUAUUAAUAUUAAUAAGAGUAACUCAUGUAUCAGAUGAUUAUAACAUUUUAAGCUAAUAAAGGGAAAAUCAGUUGUUUAAAAAUAUACAUGUAAUUUGUUUCAAUGCAUUUCCUCCAAAUAGUUCUCUGGCUGUGUUUUCAUUGAGGAAUAUUAUAUUACAUUCCCUAUGUUCCUCAAGAUACUUGUUUAUUUUUUUUAACUUUGGGAGAAUUUUUUAAAUGUUGUGAUCUGGAAAAAGUGCAAUGAUUGUAUAAUAAAAUCUCAUACUUAUGAUUGUUUUAGACAUUCUCUACAAACUCAUAUAAAGAUUGUAAAAAAAAAACUUCUCCAAAUGUUGCCUAUGUAUUUUGUCUGUAAAGACUGUAGAAGUGAUAGAGCCAGGAAGUGAAGUGAUGUGGUAGCAAGUUAUUUAAAAAUCACUUUUUUUCUUUUUGCAGUUAAGUUUAUUUAAAUGAUGUCUGUAUCCAUUAUUUAUUUACUUAUCAUUCUGUGUCUGUCUCUGCCUGGCUCCAUAAAAGCAAUGGAGGCAGCAGAAUAUCCAGACACAGUUUUUCUCUGCUCCAUGCCCCCUCUAUGCAUGCAGUCACCAUCUUUUUAGCAAUACACCAUUAACUCUGGAAUAUUCACUGACAGUCUGAAAGAUACUAACAUACUCACCAUUUAUUUCUCCUUGCCAUCACUUUUAUGCUCAGUUUUGGGGGUCUCCAUUUUGUUUUCUCUUCAACCAUGAAUUCAUAUUGUUUAGAAAGUUUCUUUGAAUUCUGAGAGAGAAUGAGAAAUUAGAAGAGAAAAUCAAGUGAGAACCCCAUGCCUUAUUUAAUUGAAGAGUUUCUCCCCCUUCACCUCCUAAAGAGGAAUAGUAGAGAGUUUCCACCCAUAUGUAAAGAAGUGGUGUCAGUGGAAUAUCAUGGUACAGGAGCAAUAUUUUGAAAUGUCUUGUUGCUGGUUAAAUACAGGGAACGCCAAUACAAGGAAGCAAGCUUCGACUUCCAGGAUAUUUAUCAGGGAAAGGCUUCCACUCUGGGGAGGACAGUGGCUUGAUAACAACUGCAGCUGCCAGAGUCCGAACACAGUUUGCUGAUUCCAAGAAGACUCCCAGCCGACCAGGAAGUCGAGCUGGAAGCAAAGCUGGCAGCAGGGCCAGCAGCCGCCGAGGCAGUGAUGCAUCAGACUUUGACAUUUCAGAAAUCCAGUCCGUGUGCUCAGAUGUGGAAACUGUCCCCCAGACACACAGACCUACACCCCGAGCAGGUUCUCGGCCAUCCACAGCGAAGCCUUCAAAAAUCCCCACGCCCCAGAGGAAAUCACCUGCCAGCAAAUUGGACAAGUCCUCAAAGAGAUAGUGCAAUUGGUUCUACCAAGGCCCUUCCUUGAGCAUUUAUUAUUUAAGUUUGAACGAUGUAAAAUAUGGUGUAGAAAUUCUUGUGAAAUAUUGCAAGAGGCGAGUUUAAAAUUCUGCAGAUGGCCUUAUUUGUGUAUUUGUCUUUUUAUUUUAUCUGUAUAAUUUUUUUUGUCAGAUAUUCUGGGGUUAAAGUCACAUCAUAUGUGAGGAGGAAAAGUUUAACAUGAACUAACAUUUCUGCACUGUAACGUGCCGGGCACACACUAAACUCAGUUACUGUACCUACAGGUAAGUCUACAUCCUCUCUGACAGCCACAGCACUACAUCAAUCCCUGACGUUAGGGAUACCUCAUGACAUUUUCCUGUUUUUAUGGAAACUCUGAGAAGCUGAAUGAUACAUGCAGGGGAUAUUUUUUGAGAUGAUUUAAAUGUAAACCAAAAGAUGGAAGACAAAAAGACAAACACACCCACACGCAGUCUUUGCAGUAUCUGACAGAGAACUCACAGGAAGUUACUUCAAGCACUUGCCAGUACUAUGAUAUUCAAGUACCUUGCAGCAUUUCUCUGCCAUUGCUUUCAAUGAGGCCAGAGGCAUCCUGGAUAUUAGACCUAUUAUACUGUAAGAAUAUAAGUAUAAAGUGCGUUCAUAUACAUGUGAGGUUUUCUUUUGCUUGAGUGGACAGUAGCACCUGUAUCAUUGAACUCAUUUUGUAUCAGAGCAAUUUUGCUUGCAGAAAGCUAUGAAAUAAAACACGUCCCUUAACUGC